rnacentral:rRNA from 1 species
GAUGAACGCUGGCGGCGUGCCUAAUACAUGCAAGUCGAACGAAACUUCUUUAUCACCGAGUGCUUGCACUCACCGAUAAAGAGUUGAGUGGCGAACGGGUGAGUAACACGUGGGCAACCUGCCCAAAAGAGGGGGAUAAUACUUGGAAACAGGUGCUAAUACCGCAUAACCAUAGUUACCGCAUGGUAACUAUGUAAAAGGUGGCUAUACUACCGCUUUUGGAUGGGCCCGCGGCGCAUUAGCUAGUUGGUAGGGUAAAGGCUUACCAAGGCAAUGAUGCGUAGCCGAAUUGAGAGGUUGAUCGGCCACAUUGGAACUGAGACACGGCCCAGACUCCUACGGGAGGCAGCAGUAGGGAAUCUUCCACAAUGGGCGAAAGCCUGAUGGAGCAACGCCGCGUGGGUGAAGAAGGUCUUCGGAUCGUAAAGCCCUGUUGUUAGGGAAGAAAGUGCGUGAGAGUAACUGUUCACGUUUCGACGGUAUCUAACCAGAAAGCCACGGCUAACUACGUG